UACGUAGGGGGCAAGCGUUGUCCGGAAUCAUUGGGCGUAAAGCGCGCGUAGGUGGCCUCAUAAGUCCGCUGUGAAAGUCAAAGGCUCAACCUUUGAAAGCCGGUGGAUACUGUGGGGCUAGAGUACGGAAGAGGCGAGUGGAAUUCCUGGUGUAGCGGUGGAAUGCGCAGAUAUCAGGAGGGACACCAAUAGCGAAGGCAGCUCGCUGGGACGUUACUGACACUGAGGCGCGAAAGCGUGGGGAGCGAACAGG
rnacentral:rRNA from 1 species